rnacentral:rRNA from 1 species
UGGGGGAUAUUGCACAAUGGGCGAAAGCCUGAUGCAGCGACGCCGCGUGGGGGAUGAAGGCCUUCGGGUUGUAAACUUCUUUUGCUCUGAACAAGGCGCACCAUGGGGUGUGUUGAGUGUAGGGGUUGAUUAGCGCCGGCUAACUACGUGCCAGCAGCCGCGGUAAUACGUAGGGCGCGAGCGUUGUCCGGAAUUCUUGGGCGUAAAGGGCUUGUAGGUGGCUGGUUGCGUCUGUCGUGAAAGCUCAUGGCUUAACUGUGGGUUUGCGGUGGGUACGGGCUGGCUUGAGUGCAGUAGGGGAGGCUGGAAUUCCUGGUGUAGCGGUGGAAUGCGCAGAUAUCAGGAGGAAUACCGGUGGCGAAGGCAGGGCUCUGGGCUGUUACUGACACUGAGGAGCGAAAGCAUGGGGAGCGAACAGG